UCAUUGUUUCUUAUUCUUUUUCUCUCCAAGCAUAUCGCCCCAUCUUAUCCCAAACCAGGUAGAACACGAGCUCAAUACUGAUCUACUGCGAGGUUGAAUUGGAGUUGGAUUUGAAGACAGAAAUCAACUUGGAGAUGGGAUUGAAGAUAGAGUCGCAAUUAUAUUCUUGCCCAAGGAGGAUUUCAGAGCCUGCAAUUGAGAUUUCUGCACACAAACCGGCGACUCGGGGAAUUGAAUAUUGUUUUCUGGUGUUGUGAGGUCGAACAAGGCAAAGGUACACCUUGGGUUGCGAAAGCAAUACUCCUGGCUUUGACUCUUCAGGGGAAACUUUACAUCUUGUCGUAGUCCGGUAGUCAAAGCCUCUGGACUCCCAAUAUUGCUUUUGUUUUGGUGCGUCUGGUUUGGAAGCUCAAGUCGGACCAGGUGAUAGUAGUCACAGCAUUCUAAAGGUGGCCGGAGACAAGAACAGCGACUAUACCGUAGCCAAGUAUCAGAACUCCAGGAUUUAAACUCAAGGGUGAGGCCUUCUUUUAUUUACCCAUUGGCUAUUUUGAGAAUAGGUGUUUUGGAAUGGAGAUCGGGACUGGCUCUUUUUGGCUAUGGUAUUUUGAAAGGAUGCAGGGGGUAAUUAUAUGUGGUGUUUAAGUGGAAUUGACAGAGUUCCUGUGAUUAUAAGGGGCCCUCUAACAGUUCGGUGUAUUAAACAGCCAAAACUUGAGGAUAAUAUCGGCACCCUAAGGCACGCCGUAUCAAAGUUCUGAAACAGUAUUGGCACCAUAAGGCACCGCCACCGGAGCUUUGAAAGCAGUUUCGGCACCCUAAGGCACGCCGAAUGAAGCUCUGAAACAGUAUUGGCACCUAAAGGUACCGCCACUGGAGCUUUGAAAGUGGUAAAACCAUAAAGAGAUGCAGACGGAUCCUCCACCUUUGAUUCCUAUGGAGCACGCUGCGGCUUCUUCUGUCCCCUUUGCUUUCCUUCCCUUUUUUUUGUCUUUAUGCAGUGCUUUUUAUAUUGCCACGAUCAUGAGUUUGGUUUGUAUCAAACAUAGAGUUUUAGAGUUCAACUUGGAGUGAACUACCUGGGGAACUUGUAUUCCGUGAAGACUACAACUCUUGUAUUUUGUAGUUGCUUUGUAAUUUAUAUCUUGACAAAACAAGAACUCUGACGUCUUGUAAAAAUCCAAUAGACCAGCUUAAUGACUCUUGUGCUUUUUCUUU